CUGUUGCUCUCCACUGUCUCAGCAUGUUGGAUCAAUCUACGACCAUCGGCUGAAAUAACUCAUCAUUAACGGUCACAUCCGGUCACAUAGGACUCUUCAUCAACGCCAUACCGCCACCUUCUGGACCGGAGGCUGAACUGUCUACACAGCGCCAUACCGCCACCUUCUGGACCGGAGGCUGAACUAUCUACACACCGCCAUACCGCCACCUUCUGGACCGGAGGCUGAACUGUCUACACAGCGCCAUACCGCCACCUGCUGGACCAAAGGCUGAACUGUCUACACAGCGCCAUACCGCCACCUGCUGGACCAGAGGCUGAACUGUUUGCACACUUAGUACACUAACACUUUCUAAUCCUCUUUAAUGUUAUUAAUUCUAAAUUUAACUUUAUUAUAAAUAUAAUUAUAUUUAAUUUAUUAAAUUAAUAUUUUUUAAUUCAAAGGUUUAUUAAUGAUUUGAAAAUAGUUAUUUAUAUUAUACUUUAUUAUUUUAGAGUAAAAAAAAGUAAAGUGAUCUAAAACAAAUUAAAAAAAUUAAAAACAACAAAAACAACAGAAUAAUAAAAAGUAGUAAAUACAAAAAUGAACAAACUAAUGAACAUUUUAAUCAGAAAUUUAAAAUGAAGAUAAAUCAAUAUGAGAGUUAAUAAAAAUAAAAACAAUCAUAAUAAUGUGUAAAUGACCUCAGUCCUUUUUAUGGCUUUUAAAUAUUUUAAUAAAUCUGAUCAAUGAAAAAAACAACUCUUUUUAUUUAAGUUAAAAUAAUCAACAACAAUGAUGAUGUAUCAUUUUAGUCUGCUGCUUCCUUUUCUGUGAACGGAUCACAAAAAGAGCUGAAACUCAACAAGCUUCUCUGAUUGGAGGAUUCUAUGGGACUUGGAGGUGGACACAUCCGGCUGCAGAUGUUCUUCCUGAUGUGUUUGUGGACAAUGUAAAGAGACGUUUGAUGUUUAAAUUUGUUAUUUGAGUUUGUGUGUUUGGCUGCUGGUUGUUUGUGUGAAACUGUUUUCUGAAAAAAUCGUAAAUAAAAAUAAAUAAAAUGUC